UUCAGCCAAUGAGAAAGAGAAUACAUCAUAUAGAUCAUGUUAUAGGAAUGUGAUACAUAUAGAAAAACAAGUCUAAAUAUGGUCAUCUAUUGGUCAGGUACCCAUGAGGUCCCUUAGCAUCCCAAGGACCUUCUCCUAAGCAGGGACCAUUCCCUGUUUCACAUUUACUCCUAGUAGAGCCUUAUAUGGAAAUGGUUCUGGUACAUAGAAAACCAUAUGUUUAAAACAUAGUAUACAACUUUGACAGAGGAAAAAAAAGGAGCCUCAGUCCACAUACUUUCAAUGCUGAGACCAACAUAAAAUCUAUCAAUAUGGAAUACCUGAGCUCUCUCUUCUGCAGGAAGACGGCACGGUGUUGCUCUGCAGCUAGAGUUAGAAGUAAGGCUUUGCUUUGUUUUCACUCGACUCGUUAACCACGGCAGAUGCGAGUUCGCGUCAUCACUGAAGAGCUUGGUACCGAUUUUUCAGCACUCUUCUGCAGGGAAACGGCACGACUCCAUAGCCAGGAUUAGCAAUAAACCGAUUGGUCUCACUCCCGUUUAGCCAUGGCAGAUGCUGCGAGUCGCGUCACGGAAGAGCUGGAGCUGCUUCACCAGAUAUCGGCACGGAUGCUGGAAGGCUUGCGGACUUCCGCACCGUCACAAACGUCUCCUGUGUUCCUCCUGUGCUACUCCGUCUGUGUAUUUGAGAAUCAUAGUGGCCAGACAUUGACCCACAUUGGACAUUCUGAAUGA